rnacentral:lncRNA from 1 species
ACUAGUGGAAAAAACACUUCUUAUGUCUGUUAGAAUCGACUUCUUAAGUCGGUUCCGAGCCUGACCUAACAAUUCCAGUCAUAAGAAGUAUUGACUUCUUAAGUCGAAUUUGGACCUGACUUAAGAAACGCUUUUUAAGUCGGUUAAAAUGACGUUUUAAGUCGGUCUCUACCUGACUUAAGAAAAGGCGACAUAAGAAGUUUGAAGUUCUUAAGUCAGAUUUUGACCUGACUUAAAAACUGACUUCUUAAGUCAGUUAAAGUUUUACCCGACCUAAGAAGUGUUACUGUAAUUUUAAAAAAAAUAUAGCCACAAUUAAAUCGUGGCAAACAACACUUUCUUUACAAAAAAAUAAUAAAAAAAUACAGUAGCUCUGCAUUUGCUAACCAAAUAUCCAAAUGAGAGUAAUUUAUUUUGCCCAAUUUAAAUUACAUAAGAACAAAUUUACAAACUAAUUUAAGGGGUAUAAUAUCACUCAUGAAGAAAUAAGUAACUAAACUAACUACAAACUAAUUAUAAUUCUAACACACACUGAGAACCAACACAAUAAUGAAUAUGUGAAUGUCUAGUCAAUAAUACUUUUCUCAAUGUAAAACUU